rnacentral:sRNA from 1 species
UUGUAAUGGCAUUUCUCUAAUUUGACACAAUUGUAAUGGCAUGGAUCCAAUUAA